GUUUGGUUAUGAGUUAAGAAGAUGAAGUAACCAGUUGAUCGACUAUUUCGAAGACUUCAUUUCCUUUAUUUUGUCAAUGAUUAAAAUGUGUACUUGGAGAAUAUUGAUAUUGUUUUGUUGUUGGGACUAAACUAAGUCUUUUUUUGUUUAUUAUGGAUAUUGAAUAUAUGAUACUUCUUAAAACUUUAUGAAGUUACCUUUUUGUAUAUUCUCGAUUAUGUUUACUAAAAUGUGUACUUCAU
rnacentral:lncRNA from 1 species